UUGCUUUAGAGAAUGAGCUCACCUUACUCAGAAGAUAUGCCAAGUAAAAAAUUAGAAAUUGAACAAUUAGUUCCGCUCUUAAAUUUUGCACAACAGUCCAAAUUAUCCAAUAAAUCAUGUGUUAGCAGGGUCAGAUUAUAGAAGUUGAAUCACUUGUUCUAAAUUACCCAAUCCAAAUUAUGGAUGUUAAUAAUAUGCUUUCUGUUAGACUAUUAGUCAAAUUGUCGAAAGCCGGAGCUGGGUCGAGGAGCCGGCCUCCGCCUUUGGCCAUUACGUGAGAAGCAACACCGGUGUUGGCCGUUACCGUGUGCAGAAGCUUCAUCUGUGUACAUCAAGAUUGCUAAUUGCCAUCUGAAGGGUGAUAGUAAGCAUGAAGAUGCCUAAGCUUAUGAGGAAGCUGCAAACUGCGACCAAAAAUUUUCACUUCAGGGUAUUUCUUUUUACAAUUUACUGCGCAUGAUACAUAUCCUUCGCCAUUAACAUUCUUUUCCUCUC